UGUUGGGGUAACGGCCCAACAAGCCCGUGAUCGAUACGGGUUGUGAGAGCAAGAGCCCGGAGAUGGAUUCUGAGACACGAAUCCAGGCCCUACGGGGCGCAGCAGGCGCGAAAACUUUACAAUGCGGGAAACCGUGAUAAGGGAACCCCGAGUGCCCGUAAAUUCGGGCUGUCCAUCAGCGUAAAUAACUGGUGAAGAAAGGGCCGGGCAAGACCGGUGCCAGCCGCCGCGGUAACACCGGCGGCUCGAGUGGUAACCGUUAUUAUUGGGUCUAAAGGGUCUGUAGCCGGCCGGAUAAGUCUCUUGAGAAAUCUGGCAGCUUAACUGUCAGGCUUUCAGGAGAUACUGUCUGGCUCGAGGCUGGGAGAGGUGAGAGGUACUUCAGGGGUAGGGGUGAAAUCUUGUAAUCCUUGAAGGACCACCAGUGGCGAAGGCGUCUCACCAGAACGGACCUGACGGCAAGGGACGAAAGCUAGGGGCACGAACCGGAUUAGAU
rnacentral:rRNA from 1 species